UACGGAGGGGGCGAGCGUUGUCCGGAAUCACUGGGCGUAAAGGGCGCGUAGGUGGCCCGUUAAGUGGCUGGUGAAAUCCCGCGGCUCAACUGCGGGGCUGCCGGUCAUACUGGCGAGCUAGAGCACGGUAGGGGCAGAUGGAAUUCCCGGUGUAGCGGUGGAAUGCGUAGAGAUCGGGAAGAAUACCAGUGGCGAAGGCGUUCUGCUGGGCCGUUGCUGACACUGAGGCGCGACAGCGUGGGGAGCAAACAGG
rnacentral:rRNA from 1 species